rnacentral:rRNA from 1 species
UGUAUAUGUAUGAGUUAUGAUGCGGGUUACUCNUUGUAGUAUUGCUUGCACAUACUUGUACAUUUAUUUGCAAGAUGUUGUCGGCGUGCACUUCUCCCCUAGUAGGACNUCGCGACCCGUUGGGUGUUGGUCUACGACCCGAGUNGGUAGCCUCNUAAUGUUUUNAUAACAUUAAAGACCCUUGGUGUUUUCUGACCGGCUGCUCGGCGGUAUUCGUACGGUAUUUAGCCGCAUUUUAUNAUGCGUUCAUA